rnacentral:rRNA from 1 species
UACGUAGGGUGCGAGCGUUAAUCGGAAUUACUGGGCGUAAAGCGUGCGCAGGCGGUUCGUCGUGUCCGAUGUGAAAGCCCCGGGCUCAACCUGGGAAUGGCAUUGGAACUGGCGGACUCGAGUGUGGCAGAGGGGGUGGAAUUCCGCGUGUAGCAGUGAAAUGCGUAGAGAUGCGGAGGAACACCGAUGGCGAAGGCAGCCCCCUGGGCUAACACUGACGCUCAGGCACGAAAGCGUGGGGAGCAAACGAGG